AGUGUAUGGAUCUUUAUGAAAUUGUACUACAAGGUUCCAUAUCACAAAGGGAAAGCUGGGUUUGAGUUUGGGGGUAAUUGCCCUAAACGUUUAGGAA